rnacentral:tRNA from 1 species
GCCCGGCUGGCUCAGUCAGUAGAGCAUGCAACUCUUGACCUGGGGUCGUGAGUUCAAGCCCCACGUUGGGCA